AGUUGUUUGUUUUGGUUAUUUGAGUCAUUGCGAUUAUCCAGGUUUUUUUUUCAUUCAUUCAUCCAUGCUCAAUUGAUUAGAUAAAAAAAUGUAAAUAAAAAUGUUUUGCUUUGCUUUUGUAGACUUUUUUUUUUGAAAAAAUGAAGCAGAAGCGGACAGAUCCCGCAUCAUUUAUUAAAAAUAUAAUGUCUCGUUUGGUCAAAAUGUGUAUCAUCCAUGGGUUCAGUAUUCAACGAGGCAGCAAAUCCAUUUGCCAAGACCCUUCAAAUUGGUGUAUCUGUAUCGGCGAAAAUUGGCUGAUUCAUGCACUAGAUAUCGGCUGAAUGCGAGGGCUAAACGUCGACGUCGAGAUUUCUCCAAAGUGGAGGUAAAAACGAUAGCUUGCAGACUGCAGUAUGCUGUUUUUAAACUUUCAAAGAUUGUGGCAAAGAUGCGACUGAGUCUCCUGGGCUGUGACCUCUGUUUUUUUAAUAUCGGUGAGUAGAAACCGUCAGAAUAGAGUUUAUGUUCGUGGGCCUACUGAUGUCAAUAUUCGCAUAUUUUGCUGGUGAUUUUUCACGUUAAAAGGAAAUUAUGAUCAUUUUUCUUUUCUCCCAAAAAUGUGAGCAGCCGAGAGACUUUAAACCAAGAGAGCUAAUCAACUUGAAAGAGAGUCAUUGAGCCACCCAGCGAGUAAUAAAUAAUAAUCGAAGAAUAGAGUUAAUAAGCUACGAACAGAGCGUACAAAUGUUAUAUGAGCUGAUCAGAUUCAAAAAGAGUUGAGAAAGUUCAUAACUCAUAAGCUAUGUAGAUGAACUGCCAAGAGAGUUGAUGACCUAUGAAAAAAAGUACCUAUAAAGCGAGUACUUCAGUCUUUUAUUAUAUUAUUGGAUGCAUUCAAAGUGAAUCUUUGACCCUGAAAACUCUAUUUAGAAAUUAUUGCAUUUUUUAUCGAUGUAAAAUGUUAACUAUAUUUAUAAAAUAGAACUGACGUGAGCUUGGGAACAUUUUGUCUACACAGUAAUUUUAUUCUUGUAUUUCUCAACUAUUUUUUUCUGGCUAGAUUAGAUGGCUAGAUCUUUUCAUCAAAGGAAAACUUGUUCUGUAGGUAGAAAAACACUCCAGACUCCGCAAUGUCACACUCACACACUUCAGUUCAUACGUUUUAUUUUGAAAAAAGUCUUCCUAGGGAGGCUUCAAAUGUCCGAAAGCCAGCAAAUUAAAAAUCUGUAUAACAAUGGCCAUGAUCAAUUAUGCAUCUACAAUGUUAGGUGUGUUGCCUACAUUUAUGUUCCGAGGGGCUAACAUUUUGAAAACCAUUCUUGUACUCAUUCUUUAAACGUUACGAUAUUGGAAUUUUUCAUUUCAAUUAAUAACAACCAAGAUUUUCAAUUAUUAUUUUUUUAAUGAUACAUUUGUCGAAUUUCGUAGCAACUACAACAUUUAAUAAUCUACAACUACAUUAUGGCAAUGCAAGUAUGUAAAUACAACUUUUGAACAAAAUUGUAUCACAAUAUAAUAUACAAAGAAAAAGAAAAAAAAAUAUCUAUCUCGAAACAUACACAAUAAAAGACUCUCGAAUAAAAAUUUUCCAAAGAUCAAAUGCAUUGUUUUGAUAAUAACGCCUACCGAAGAUCAAAGCAAUAUGGCUGCAUAUCCCAGUAGACAGUUCAUAGGAAUGCCAUUUUCUAGAAAAAUAUCU